AGCCCACAUCCGUCAUCUCGUGCACAAGGAAUUUCUCCAGUCAUCUUCCUUCGCGUGCGGCGUGCUCCCUGCCCAUUGCCUCGCCGCCAUCCGUCACCAACUCCGUCGUCGCCAUCGACGUCUUCCAGAAGCCCGCGCAGGAGUCCGCCAGCCUCGUCCGAUUCGCUCCCGGGAGAGCCCCAGAGCAAGCCAUCUCCCAGGACAACCGACGGGUUUGCGCCCUUUUAGUUUGCCUCCCUAUUAGUGCUCGCGAGAGUAGGGUGGUGUUCGUAGUGUAGUGUUGGCUCAGCUCAUCUAUAUGGUAGCACAAAUAGCAUUAGUGAACGAGUAGAGAUGGAAAUGGAUGGCCAAUGUUUUCUGUGUAGUUGGAUUUGAGUCUCUUAACUGACGUUUAUGCCUUUAGAUACUGUUCCUACCAUUGGAUCUGUGAUAGUCUCCGCGGUUUCUCUGAAUUUAUGAUUAUUCUGCAGAAAACAAAACAAAAAAAGAAGGUUCUUGCUCUGAUUGUGUCCUGAUUCGUAGUGAAGUGAUGAACUUUAUGCAACAAUAUAGGGCAAUUUCAGAAACAAGAUUCUCAUGCCCUUAGUCUCAAAUGCGAAAUUUCCCCCACUGCUUCAGAGGUAUGGGGAAUUUUUGCUGUAAACAUGGUUCCCUUUGGUGGUCCAUGUCUCAUGCAUUUUGUGGGUUCUGGAAUGCGCACUGGAUUAAUUUCCACUGGAUUCUGAAAUCUCUGUACUAUUUUCCAUGGGGAGAACAAAUCCCGCUUCUGUUGCAGCUGUAGUGUUUGAGAAUACGAUUUAACCUGUGCCAUGGCUAUAGGUGCUCUUGUGGAACUACCAAAUUUGACAUCCAUGGUAAAACUUACUUCAUAUACAUUUUCUGACACAAUUCCAGAUAAACAUAGCUAAGCUAGUUAUAUCCAGAUCAUGUUCCACCAUCAUGCCAAAGGAUGCUAGCCCAGUUAGUUAGUCACUCCGGCGGCACCCCUCAGGUCCUGAGUUCGACUCCCCGUGGGAGCGAAUUUCAGGCUAAGGGUAAAAAAAUCCCCUCGCUGGCCCCGUGUGCCAAAGCACUGGUUGUGAGACGACCCAGGUCGGCCUGAGGACCCUUACAUGGCCCAGGCAGGUAGUUCCCAGGGGUUACGUCUCCCAGUGUCAGGGCGGGGCCAGGGUUCGGGGAUUUUCUCGGUCGGGGAAGCCGAGGCUUCUUCUUAAGCUAAUACCGGUGGGGCGGUCUUUCCCCACCCGGCCGAGUUUUUUUGUUCCACCAUCAUGCUUUUUCAUUUGCCAUAAUUGACAUCCAUAAUUGUCAGAUAAACAUAGCUAAGCUAGUUACUUCAUAAGCAUCACUUGGAAGACAAUGGACUCUGAAUUUUUACAUCUUUUGCUGCUAUUAUUAGAUUCUGUGCGCAUCUGCGCAUCCAGAUUGCCGUAAUUGUCAGUUUCAGCUUUUAAUGUUGCAUGCUUGACUAUAAUGAAAUUCCGGUGGAGACCAUUUACUGUUCUUUCGCUCAAGUUGGUUAGUCUGAUCCCCUAGCUAUUCGAAACAUAUGUCUAAAUUAUGGACUCAGUCAUCUUUAUAUUUCACUUCACAAUUUCUUUGAGGGAUGUACAGUAAGCGUAAGCUAUAUAUAGUAUGCCCACUGUUGUGGACCUUCAAACAUUGCAUGUGUAAGUAGGUAAAAUUUGCAUACAUCUUACCUAUUUGUUCCACUCUUAUGGAAGAACUACAGAUCUGAGUAUUUUUUGCUACAUUCAUUUCAGGUAACCGAUUACACUACACACUACAACAUAUCCUGUUCAACCUCCAGCUGUGAUCAUUGCUCUGGCGAUGAACUGCAAUUCGUGUGGGUCUCAAGCUAGCAGUGAAACAUGUGGGAUUUGCUGGCAUGUUCUGGAAGGAUUCUUGAUAUGCCAAAGUCUCCUACUCGGACACUCAUGUCUUCUGCAAGAAGGAUGUUACUUGGCUUCAGAUCACAAUGAAUUAUUGGUGGCUGACAGUGAUUAAGAAGAUAGUCCAAAGCAUCCAUGAUAUCAACAGCAAUAUCAAGCCUUCGUUCUAGGCUUAGUGUAUUUCUCAGAGUCGGCUGAUCAGAUUUUGGAUGAAGCCAAUCGUUUAAGCUACCAUUUGGCAUGAACUCAAAAACUAGUGCCUUGAACUCUUGACCUUGGAGAUUGAUGCUUGAGCAGCAGGUGAUGAUUUUUAUGAGA